ACAGCAGCUAUGCAUGACUCAGGAAAAUUCACAGGGUGAAAAAUGAGGCCAGCACUUAGUCCUCAGGGGGCAGUCUGGCCCUGUGCAAAUAUUCUAAAUACACAGGGGAAAAUGUGUUUAAUCAUUACCUCUUUGUUUAACAAAACAGGAUGAAAACUUAAUCUUUGUAGUGUAAGGGAACUUCAAGUGAUGUGGGAGUGAACUCUGCCAUUUCCUGACAAUCCUUGUCCCAGAAUUGCUGAUAGUUCUUUUCUCUCUCUCAUGGUCAGUCUCAGAAAAUCAAGGAUCUUGCUAAUAUCAUUGAGGCAGCCUUCAAGAAGCAUUGCCCAGAAACGAGCAUAUAUGUGUAUUAUCUUUCAACACAAUUCCUGGGAAAGAAAAAUCACUGAAAGGACUGCUUUUUUUAUUCUUUGGAAAUGCUUCAUCAAAAGUGCCUCCUUUUCAGUUUAGCUUUCACUGGCUGCUGGAAAGGAGGAGCUAAUGCACGAUGACAGGAAAACCGGAAAUAGAGUUCUUCCCUCGCCAGCUGUACUUGCUAACAUCUAAGGCCAGGAAAGCAUGUAUAUAAGCCCUUUGUACAGCCAGAUAGGGGGGAGGGAUGAAUGCCAGUCUUUAAAUGCAUUUCCAAACUUUGAAAAAACUACAGCUCUUGCUCAGAUAUAUAAAGAUCAUUUAAAAUGUAGGACUGCUUGAUUUUUAAUGAAAUGUUUAAAAGGAUUCCCACGUCAGUUCAAAUUACCAGACAUGUACAUACAUACACGCCAGCAAGGAAAUGGGAUCCGUACAAAAUGCUUCUCUAUUCUCACCACUUCUCCUAUUUAAUUAAAUUCAAGCCCAUUUGCAUUUCUCGCAUUUGCAUGAACUUUGUACUUCAAAGGCUGAUUUUCUGAUUAGUGCAGCCUAGCUCCCAUUAGUUGUAUAAACAACUAGGAACCGAAAUCAGAGCAAUCUGUCUUGACUUAAUUUUUAGUCUCUGCAUAGGGAGUUCUUCACAAUCUCUUCCCUUGUGGUUUGUUUCCUUUGGUUUGGUGUAAUUAAUCUUUGAUGAUUUGCCCAUCUAGUAUGGUCUUUACUGAAGAAAAGGGCAGGGUUCCUUUUCCCUUCCAGUAGGAGCAAGUAUUCUGAACUGGUAAGAAAAUCAGGGUAAGAAAUUUAGAGUAAGUGGAUUGAAAUUAAUUCAAUAAACAUAAAGUUUUCUGAGCCAUCGUUGAUCUGCUCCAGAUAAUUUUAUCCACAAAAUUACAUGAGAGAGACUUUGUUGGUCUUUAUCUCAAAUUAAUUUUGCUCAUCUACAGCACAUCCCAAUGUAAUCUGAGCCAAUUACAACUUCUUCCAGC